GCUGGCGGAAUGCUUUACACAUGCAAGUCGAGCGGCAGCGCGGGGCAACCUGGCGGCGAGCGGCGAACGGGUGAGUAAUGCAUCGGAACGUGUCCAUGUCGUGGGGGAUAGCCCGGCGAAAGCCGGAUUAAUACCGCAUACGCCCGAGAGGGGAAAGUGGGGGACCGCAAGGCCUCACGCGAUUGGAUCGGCCGAUGUCCGAUUAGCUAGUUGGCGGGGUAAAGGCCCACCAAGGCGAUGAUCGGUAGCUGGUCUGAGAGGAUGAUCAGCCACACUGGGACUGAGACACGGCCCAGACUCCUACGGGAGGCAGCAGUGGGGACUUUUGGACAAUGGGGGCAACCCUGAUCCAGCCAUUCCGCGUGAGUGAAGAAGGCCUUCGGGUUGUAAAGCUCUUUUGUCCGGAACGAAACGGGUAGCGUGAAUAUCGCUGCCUACUGACGGUACCGGAAGAAUAAGCACCGGCUAACUACGUGCCAGCAGCCGCGGUAAUACGUAGGGUGCGAGCGUUAAUCGGAAUUACUGGGCGUAAAGCGUGCGCAGGCGGUUUUGCAAG
rnacentral:rRNA from 1 species